AUUGAACGCUGGCGGCAUGCUUUACACAUGCAAGUCGAACGGUAACAGGCCGCAAGGUGCUGACGAGUGGCGAACGGGUGAGUAAUGCAUCGGAACGUGCCCAGUCGUGGGGGAUAACUACUCGAAAGAGUAGCUAAUACCUCAUACGAUCUAUGGAUGAAAGCGGGGGACCGUAAGGCCUCGCGCGAUUGGAGCGGCCGAUGUCAGAUUAGGUAGUUGGUGGGGUAAAGGCUCACCAAGCCAACGAUCUGUAGCUGGUCUGAGAGGACGACCAGCCACACUGGGACUGAGACACGGCCCAGACUCCUACGGGAGGCAGCAGUGGGGAAUUUUGGACAAUGGGCGCAAGCCUGAUCCAGCAAUGCCGCGUGAAGGAAGAAGGCCUUCGGGUUGUAAACUGCUUUUGUACGGAACGAAACGGCUCUGGUUAAUACCCGGGGCUAAUGACGGUACCGUAAGAAUAAGCACCGGCUAACUACGUG
rnacentral:rRNA from 1 species